ACAUGCCUACAACAUAGUGUUAAUGCACCGAAUCCCAUUAUAACUCUGCAGUUAAGCGUGCUCAGGCUAGAGUAGUAGUGGGAUGGGUGAUCGCUUGGGAAGCCCUAGUGUUUUACAUGCC
rnacentral:rRNA from 1 species